GAAAUGCGAUAAGUAAUGUGAAUUGCAGAAUUCAGUGAAUCAUCGAAUCUUUGAACGCACCUUGCACCUCUUGGUAUUCCUUGAGGUAUACCUGUCCGAGCGCCGUUUGUGUCAUAAGGCUCCGCCUUGCGAUGAGGGAUUCCGCGAAGGAACCGUCGAAACGAAUGGGCGUCUGUUCCCAAGUCCGAACUGCAGCGAAGAUGCGAUGAAGGCUUUUGGGAGAGGCCGCAUGUGUUUGAGAGUCAAUCUCCAAGCAUGGCCUCGGAUCAGGUAGGGAUACCCGCUGAACUUAAGC
rnacentral:misc_RNA from 1 species